CAAAUAUUUAGAUGUGAGAAAGACAACUUGAGUAGAGAGUACUGGGGUGUAUCUCAGACCUGAGUGCUUAUUGAUCAAGUCAAGGGAGAGCAUGGAGAAGCCCCUAAGGAAUUCAUUAAUGAUCAUGUGGCUUCUGCUAAAAUGGGUGAGCUGCCAACAGAAGGUGGAACAGAAUCCUCAGGUUUUGAGUGUCCAAGAGGGAGAGAAUAUCACCAUCAACUGCACUUAUGCAGACCAAAGUUCUCAAAGUCUACAGUGGUUCAGGCAGGAUCCUGGGAAAGGCCCCACCUUACUAUUUUACCUGGCUUCAGGGACAAAGGAGGGAGGAAGGUUCAAAUCCAUGAUCAGCAGAAAGGAUCGUCAGAGUUCUCUGUACAUAACUGCCUCCCAGCCUGGAGACUCAGCCACCUACCUGUGUGCUGUAGAUGCACAAUGA